AAAGUAAGACUAAUACCCAAUGACGUCUCUAGAAGACAUCUGAAAGAGAUUAAAGAUUUUAUCGGUGAUGGAUGGGGAUGCGUCUGAUUAGCUUGUUGGCGGGGGUAAACGGCCCACCAAGGCGACGAUCAGUAGGGGUUCUGAGAGGAAGGUCCCCCACAUUGGAACUGAGACACGGUCCAAACUCCUACGGGAGGCAGCAGUGAGGAAUAUUGGUCAAUGGACGAGAGUCUGAACCAGCCAAGUAGCGUGCAGGAUGACGGCCCUAUGGGUUGUAAACUGCUUUUAUAAGGGAAUAAAGUGGGAGUCGUGACUCUUUUUGCAUGUACCUUAUGAAUAAGGACCGGCUAAUUCCGUG
rnacentral:rRNA from 1 species